AGGGAUGAGGAAAACACGAAAAACCAAGAGCCAAAGGUACAGUCUAGUCCACACUUUAGAUGACAGUCUGAACCCUGUUCUUUCUGCCUGAACCCUUCUAACAAAAGUGAUAACAUAAAGUUUAGCCAACUGACUUGAGUAAGAACUUACGUUUUUCUCCUGGUGGGGUUUGCGCAGUACAUACCAAAAAUAAAGAAACAGAGGUAUGCACAGUCCCUGGAAAAAUCAGGAGUUGACAGUACUGUUGGUUUAAAGGUAGACAGAUCGAUGAUAGAUAAAUGGGUAGAUAGAUAGAUAAUAGCAGGCGGAGAUAGAGAUUAAUUACACUGAGAGUCUGGAAACCCACAUUCCGGGCCAGGCCUGAUGUGGACCCUGCUCAGGUGCAUCCUUUGACCCUUUGAGAGUUCUGGUCAUCUCAUAUUUAAAGUAAAGUGACAGGUGGGAGACACGGGUAAAGUCCCUGAAGCUCUAAAAUCCCAAGACCCCACUUUUCAAUAAGCAAAUAUUCUGCAGUCAAUUUUGGCCUAACUGUGGGACCUGCCGUCCAUGUAGGACAGGACAUAUGGGUGGUUCCGUGGAGUUUUUCCAAAUAACUCUAUGCUGGUGGAAGCAGGUCACACUAACUCUUCUUGCUGUUCAAUUAAAGGGAUUUUUUUGUUGUUCUUUGAAUUUGUUACCUAUAAGGGAAAAUCCGUUUUAAAACAGAACUUCUUGGAGUUCCCGUCGUGGAGCAGUGGUUAAUGAAUCUGACUACGAACCUUGAGGUUGCGGGUUCGGUCCCUGCCCUUGCUCAGUGGGUUAACGAUCCGGCGUUGCCGUGAGCUGUGGUGUAGGUUGCAGACGCGGCUCGGAUCCCGCGUUGCUGUGGCUCUGGCGUAGGCCAGUGGCUGCGGCUCCGAUUCGACCCCUAGCCUGGGAACCUCCAUAUGCCGUGGGAGCGGCCCAAAGAAAUAGCAAAAAGACAAAAAAAAAAACAAAAAAACAGAACUUCUUGGUUUGCCUUCUCUGAACGUGAAGCAGGUUGUUGGGCCUUUUCUGUUUGUGAAACUUUUGCUUCUCUGUCCUGAGUCACUUCCACACCCCCGCACACUCCUGCCCUGGGAACUAACUGCUUUGCUUUUUCGUCCCUGGCCUGGGCCCUGGGGUAGAAAGCCAGACCCUGGGAGGUUAGCUGUGACACGAAGUAGUAAGAGGAAAACAGCUCAAUGUAAAUCUGUGGGUUGAUUUUCGACUUGGUGUUUUUAUUGAAUUCCCACUUUUCCAUAAAGUAAUUCUCUCUAAGCUUGUGUGAUCCCAGAUGUGUGGGCCUGUGUUGAUUUGCCUUAUUUUAUGUUUCACAUGAAUUUAACAUGCCGCAUCUUCCUCCUACUAACAUGGAUGCUCAAAUGCACAGACAGGAAUGAUAGACUGUCACCCAUGCAUAUGUUUUCUUACUAAAAAAACAACAGUUUUUCAAACUGUAGACCUGCGAGGCUCCCUAACAAAGUUUUGUUUGAGGACGAGUAGAAAGAGCUGUAUCUCUUUAAUGCCGUAGUUAUAAUUUUCUCCUAGAAAUAUAUAUGCUCCAUUUGCUGGUUUCAAAUUGUGGAAGGAAAUUUCAGUGACUGCUGUUGGCCCUUUCAUGUCAUUUGUGUUUGGAUGUUUAAAUAUUAUCAUCAUCGCUGUUAAGUGGCAUCCUGUUGGUAAGCAUGCAUUUUUCAGAACACAUUUAGAAGGAAGUUUUCAUUCUUUGGGAAAAUCAGUUUGAACUGGAAUUUAUAGACCGUAACCUCCUGGGUCACAGGGCUGCAUUGCUCUGAAGUGUCACCUCUUUUCACUGUCUGAUGGAGGCAUGACCAGCCAUGAUGUAACAAGACGCAACAGGGGUUAAUAGCCAGGAAAAAAAUAAUUAAACACCGUCCAGUUUUCCAGCGCUUUGCACAAAUGCGCUGCUAACUACAGACUCUAAAUUUGGCAGCAACUUUUCUAGUAAAUAUAAUUUUAGACCAGAAACUAUCAUGUAAAGUAGACCAUCAUCCAAAGAAAAGGGGGCAGUACAUUGCAGGGCUGUCCUCCUUGGCCCUGUGGGUUUUGGACGCGUUCAGAGAAAUAAGAGCUAAAUUAAUUCUCGAAGAAUUUAGCAUGUGCUUCCUGAGUGAGUGAAGCCACUUCCCACGUCACACAGAGAGGCAAACUUGCUGCAUUUUUAGUUGAUCUUCCAGACUUACAGAACGUGCACAUUCCUUUCCUAGUCUGUGCCCGGUAAAUUCUUCCCUUUAGAGGUGUCUAACUUCCAAACGCACCAAACUGUAUACGUGGCAUAUGUGCAGUUUUUGUAUUCAAUUAUACCUCAUGGAGCUGGUAAUAAUAUUUUAAGUGUCUAAGAAAUCUGUGUGUGACUGGUCCUAGAGGCAGUUCAGUCCUGGAAAGCACUUUCAAGAAAGGUUUAUUUUCUGCACAAAACAAAUUGUCUAGCCACUAAUUCAGAGUCGGCGCAAGUGUGUUGCAGAAGACGAGCCUGCUUCUCAGAUCAGCAAGUGUUGGCCUCAUAUUCCAGGCAUUGUUCUUCUUUUCUAUGCAUCCUGUCUUGGUUUCUAUGAGUUAAGCUUAUCUGUCAUGUAGGUAAAGACAUGACACCUAUGACAUUUUGCAAUAUUUAUUUCCAGAAGUAAAAUAAGGUAGACGUAUUUUGGUUGGUGGGAGGUGAUGAUGAUACCCGGAAAUUCCUGUCUUGUCUUUCUCUUUAUUUUCUGUGCCCAGGUCUUGUUUGAUAAAUGUUUACAAUUAGGGCUGAAACAAAUUGAUUGCCUGAGAAACUCUGUUGAGGGAAGACCUUUGACAAAUAAGAAAACAGCAGCUAAACACUGUGAAAUCUGUCUUUCCUGCUCAUUUUGCAGGCAUGCACUAACAUAUUUCAAUCAGCAAACUGUGAGUGGGACCAAAUAAAGGACUGCGGUGUUGGUUAGGUUUGAAUUAACACAGUUAUGUAAGCAUCGGGGGGCGGGGGCAGGGGGUAACCCAAGCACGAGGCUAUUGAUUGCAGCUUUCUACAACUCCAGCAAGGAUAAACUCACUGCUGUUUAUGGAAGUAACUCAGGAGCUCCCUGGUGGCUCAGCCAGUUAAGGAUCCAGGGUUAUCACUGCUGUGGCUCACGUUCGAUCCCUGGCCCAGGAACUUCUGCCUGCCACGGGCUUGGGCAAAAAAAAAAGUAAGGAAGUGACCCAUAGCGUAUUCACCUUUGAAUUUUUCAUAUGAGCUCUUUCGUGUAGGAGGUGGUCUGUGCUGCUGUUUGUGCUGUGUGGACAUGCAGUCCCAGUACUAUGACCUCUCCUGCGAAUAUGGAGAUAGAGAAAGUCGGCAACUAAAUGUGCAUUAUUACCACUAUUUUUGAAAAAAGACAAUAACCCAUCAUUUAAAUGUAUUUUGAAACUACAUGCCCAUCCUGAUUAGGAAUUUAAUAGCUGUGUGUUAAACAGUUUUAAAUGACCAUAAAUGUUAUAUAUUUCAUGACCUUUAAUGAGCCUAGAACUAAUUUAGAAUACUGACCUUCCUUAUAAAAUGUAAUUAUAGAAUGCAGGGAGUUCUUUAAUAGAAUCAAAGCUUUCUCCUUUAUCUAGUGAGAUUUCGUAUUGUCUUCACAUAUAAACCACAACAGUAAAUGAAUUUUUAUAGACUUGAGAGACCUUCCAUUUUUAAGGUGGAAAUUAGAAUAGUUCCCAUUGCAGUAGCAUUUUAAUGAACUGUAGUUCUAAGAAGGCUAAGCAAGCAGCUUAUUUAAAGUUUAAAAAGUUAAAAACAAAAAUGUUUAGCAUUUAGGCUGACUUUUCAGCAUAUCUGUAAUAUUUAUAAUAAAAUGAAUACUGCUAAUAAUUUUUACAUUAAUAAUAGCCUCCAACUGCUGAGAAACACUUAGAGACAAAAAUCUUCAUGUACAAAAUCCGUGGGAGGCUGAGGUGUAAAAAUCUCCUCUGGUUUUGGAGUUCUUUUCAGGCCGUUGUAAACAUGACCACACAGAGGUCCUAGCGGCCAGGCCAGGGAGCGCCGCGCCCCCAGGGGCAGGAGGUGGUGGCCACCUGAGCAUCCCAGAAGACAGAAGCAAGCGCCUGGGGCUCCAGUGGUGUAGGGCAGGCGUCGCUUGUCCCUUUUGCAUAAAUGAUUCGGCUUAGAUUCAGGGGGAUUGCUGUAUCCCGUGGCGUUUACUUCCCGAAAACUCACAUUUUCGUAAUAAAGAGGAAAAUUGUUAAGAAACCAGAAAGGCUUGCAGCAGGCAAGUGAGAGCUCUUUGCUGACAAGUCAAGAUUCAGAAAAAGAACUGAGCAGAAGGGGUCCGAGGAGGAGGCUGCAUCCACGGACUGGGGCUGGUGCCCUCUGGCUGGUCCUCUCCCCUCCCUGCCUCCCUCCCUCCUUCCCUCCCUCCUUCCUUCUUUUCCAAGCGGAACAAAUGCUUCUGAGAAAAUCAGAAGCUCCUUGUUCAAAGAGAACCCGGUAACUGCAGUGACUGGCUUUCCAGACGGUGACAGAUGAAAGCUGCCUCCCCCAGUGCAGAAAAGUGCCCAGCGCAGCAGGGGCCCCACUUUGCCUUCUGGUGGGACUCUCCUGGCAGGUAGGCCAAGGGCUUGCUGUGCUCAGGCCAGAAGGGGACCCUGUGGGCCACUGCUUGCCCCACCCCCUCACACACCUAUGCACACCCCAUGGGCACACACGCGUGCAAACACACAUGCACACGUGCGCACGCCCACACGUGCACACGCGCUCUUAAGAGAAGAAUGAAAAGGUGAGACUGUUUGAAGGUGCCGGUCCCUGAGAGAGCAGCACGGGGGGCAGUCAGCCUUGGGGUCCCCCUGCAGCUCCAGGGCUUUGGCGUAGCGUCCCUUUUGUCAUAGCCCUGUUUUUAGCCCCCCUGCAUCAGCCGGUCUUCAUCUUCAGCAGGACUAGGUGCUCAGAAUGCUGACAGCAGCAUUCUAAUUUUUAAAACUUCUCAAUUGUCACGCCUCGGUUGCAAGCUGUGCUUUGCUUUCAGUGGCUCUUGAGAUCAUCGGAGGCCGUGUAACCAGAGAACGGUGCUUGGGAGGGUCUGGGCUUCCUCCUCUCCUCUUGUCGAAGUGAGUGGAUAGUCUACACUGGCAGAUCUUUGGCCUGGACUCUGUUAGGGGCCUGAUUCUCUUGGCCAUUGACCAUUUUUGGUCUCUAUUUCAAGAAAGUGUUCAGAAGAGUCAGCUUAUUUUCUCAAGAACAAGAAAUCAGGACCUGGUUUAUUUUGCCUCGUGCUUUGGAUAAACUAAUCCAAAUCAGGUGAGCUGUCAGUUGUAGACAGUUGGACGUCAGAUGCAGAAAACCAACACAGAGACCAGCGAUCCUGUGCGCCAACGUUGUGCGUGUACUGCAUUUUCUGUCCAAGUCAUUAAGUGUCAAGAGAAAGCCCAGACGAGGCGAGGUCGCACACUUAAGCCUUCAUUCUUUUGUUUUCCGAGGCCUCACUGAGCAGUGGGCCUGUUCCUGCGCAGCCGGCCCGGCCCCUCUGCUGUCAUAUCAACCUCCCCGCCCAGACGCUGCGUUUUUGUUGGGAAUGGUUUUGAAACGUUAGGAAAUAAGUUCUGUUGGGCAAUUCCUAAAUUCAGCUGUGCGUGAUGUCUGUGAAGGAGGCAGCAUACACGCCGGAGUCACGCUUCCCCACCCGCCGGAGACAGCAGCCCUCUGCCAGAGGGGAGGGUUGGUCACGAGAAGUGGCUUUGCUGGUUCUUUUUAAAACUAUCUUGCUGCUUCCUAUUCAGACAAGAAAUCAGCAACGUGCUAAAGUUUAGUGUUGACUCGAGCAGAGUGGAAAUGAUAGUGGGAAAUAUUAGAAAUAUGUUAUUUCUAUUUUUAAGACUUUGUACACAUAGUACAACCUGUCUUUUCCCAUAUCUGUUCUGACUUCACCACAGAAGGCACAUCUCCUAAUGGACUAUAUCCCAGGCGGCAUUUAUUUUCUUAAGGUGUAAUUUAACCUAACAAGACAGACACAAUGAGAGGCCGACUGCUAGAAAAAAAUGACACGGAGGUGAAUAAUGUGACUUCCUUUUAACACGUUAC
rnacentral:lncRNA from 1 species